GCUGUUGAGUGAUGAGACUCUGGAAUGAGUGCUGGGCACGGCGCCCGAGUCAGGCUGUGGAAACAUUGCUUGCUGCCUUGCUUUUGAGAGCAGC